rnacentral:rRNA from 1 species
GAUUAUGGCUCAGGAUGAACGCUAGCGGCAGGCUUAACACAUGCAAGUCGAGGGGCAUCGGGAGUAGCAAUACUUGCCGGCGACCGGCGCAAGGGUGCGUAACGCGUGAGCAACAUGCCCGUAUCAGGGGGAUAAUCCAUGGAAACGUGGUCUAAUACCCCAUAGUAAUUAUGUAAGGCAUCUUAUAUAAUUUAAAGCUUUGGUGGAUACGGAUUGGCUCGCGUGACAUUAGCUAGAUGGUAAGGUAACGGCUUACCAUGGCUACGAUGUCUAGGGGUUCUGAGAGGAAGGUCCCCCACACUGGAACUGAGACACGGUCCAGACUCCUACGGGAGGCAGCAGUGAGGAAUAUUGGACAAUGGAUGGAAAUCUGAUCCAGCCAUGCCGCGUGCCAGGAAGACGGCCCUAUGGGUUGUAAACUGCUUUUGUAUGGGAGCAAUAAGGGCUACGCGUAGUCCGAUGAGAGUACCAUACGAAUAAGCACCGGCUAACUCCGUGCCAGCCGCGGC